rnacentral:misc_RNA from 1 species
ACAUAUCCCGUGAUGAAGAAGAACUCAUUAUUAGGCUCCAUAAGCUUCUUGGUAACAGAUGGUCUCUAAUAGCUGGAAGGCUACCUGGGCGAACAGACAAUGAAAUCAAGAACUAUUGGAACACUACUCUGGGAAAGAAAGCUAAUGCUCAAUCAACUUCACCACAAUCCAAGCACACUACUGCUACCAACUCUAGACAGAAAAAGCUAGCCACUGAAUCCUCAAACUCACCACUCCCAGCCAAAGUCAUCCGCACUAAGGCCACUAGGUGCACCAAAGUCUUUAUCCCAUUACAGUCUCCCCAUCCGCCCCCUGAAUUUCACUCCUUCAACCCAACAGCCAGUGACCCCCCAGCUCAAACUUCC